GACGAACGCUGGCGGCGUGCUUAACAAAUGCAAGUCGAACGGAAAGGCCCUGCUUUUGUGGGGUGCUCGAGUGGCGACCGGGUGAGUAACACGUGAGUAACCUGCCCUUGACUUUGGGGUAACUUCAGGAAACUGGGGCUAAUACCGGAUAGGAGCUCCUGCUGCAUGGUGGGGGUUGGAACGUUUCGGCGGUUGGGGAUGGACUCGCGGCUUAUCAGCUUGUUGGUGGGGUAGUGGCUUACCAAGGCUUUGACGGGUAGCCGGCCUGAGAGGGUGACCGGCCACAUUGGGACUGAGAUACGGCACAGACUCCAACGUGAGGCAGCAGUGGGGAAUAUUGCACGAUGGGCGGAAGCCUGAUGCAGCAACGCCGCGUGCGGGAUGACGGCCUUCGGGUUGUAAACCGCUUUCGCCAGUGACGAAGCGUGAGUGACGGUAAUGGGUAAAGAAGCACCGGCUAACUACGUG
rnacentral:rRNA from 1 species